CUGUGAUUCUGUCUUCUCAAAGACAUGUAAAGUCAGAGGUGCCCAAAGGAGCAGCCAACGGAGAAAUUUGCAAAAACUCUGGUACAAAGUACUGAAAAAAGAGGCUUCUUUGGAAGACAACUGCAGUAGUGGUCCAUGGAAAAGCCAAAACCCACAGGAAAAGCUGGCCUUCAGUCCCCACCCGGGGACUGCACCUGGAUCAGGAAGGAGAUGCAGCAUCCCAUCUUUUACAGGGAUGAACACAACUUUCAGGCAAAGAGACAGUGGAUACAUGACAGAUGUAAAGAAUACAAGUUACCCCUCAGGACAUCUAAUAAAAUAAA